ACUACGCACUAUAGCUUUAAUUUCCAACUGUGACAACUGAAAUGAUUUGUCGUCUCUUCUUGUUUCAGCCAAACUCCCUCCACAAUCUCCUCACAACAUCUCUACGCACUCUAUGUCAACGUUCAUGAACUUCUGAUUUACAAACACAUCCUACACACAGUGAGUUACUUCAAAUGGGACGGUAAGCAGUAAAUGCUGUGACGUGAACUAAUCACAUCUCCAGUUAAACAACAUCUGAAAUGAUAAGCUUCUACAACAAACCUUUAUAUUAAAUAUCCUAAAAAACUUACUUUAGAAAUCUUGAGUAUAAAUAUAACAUGAAAUAGUCAUGAAGCACAAAGCAAAAAAGAAAAAUG